UUUUAGCCCUGAUUGUAGUGGAAAUCCUUUUUGUUUUUUCUUUAAAAACAAAAAGAUUGCAACGAAAAGCAGGUAUUGGC
rnacentral:sRNA from 1 species